GGUCACUGCUAUCGGUGUUCGUCUAAGCCAUGCGAGUCAUAUGUUCUUUGGAACAUGGCGUACUGCUCAGUAACACGUGGAUAACCUGCCCUUGGGUCCGGCAUAACCCCGGGAAACUGGGGAUAAUUCCGGAUAACGCACAUAUGCUGGAAUGCUUUAUGCGUAAAAUGGAUUCGUCUGCCCAAGGAUGGGUCUGCGGCCUAUCAGGUAGUAGUGGGUGUAAUGUACCUACUAGCCUACGACGGGUACGGGUUGUGAGAGCAAGAGCCCGGAGAUGGAUUCUGAGACAUGAAUCCAGGCCCUACGGGGCGCAGCAGGCGCGAAAACUUUACAAUGCGGGAAACCGUGAUAAGGGGACACCGAGUGCCAGCAUCCUAUGCUGGCUGUCCAGGUGUGUAAACUACACCUGUUAGCAAGGGCCGGGCAAGACCGGUGCCAGCCGCCGCGGUAACACCGGCGGCCCGAGUGGUGAUCGUGAUUAUUGGGUCUAAAGGGUCCGUAGCCGGUUUGGUCAGUCCUCCGGGAAAUCUGACAGCUUAACUGUUAGGCUUUCGGAGGAUACUGCCAGACUUGGAACCGGGAGAGGUAUGAGGUACUACAGGGGUAGGAGUGAAAUCUUGUAAUCCCUGUGGGACCACCUGUGGCGAAGGCGUCUUACCAGAACGGGUUCGACGGUGAGGGACGAAAGCUGGGGGCACGAACCGGAUUAGAUACCCGGGUAGUCCCAGCCGUAAACGAUGCUCGCUAGGUGUCAGGCAUGGCGCGACCGUGUCUGGUGCCGCAGGGAAGCCGUGAAGCGAGCCACCUGGGAAGUACGGCCGCAAGGCUGAAACUUAA
rnacentral:rRNA from 1 species